CCCUCUGCACCAUUUGGGUUUGCUGCGGGUGGGUGAGACCGGGCUCCUUCCUGUGCGUGGUGAUGUUGACCGCAGCCCUCUGAGAGCCCAUGCUAACCACAGCACGCUCCUGCUUCAGCUUCCUGCCUUGCUGGGCCCGAGGUCAAGAACUGAAGGGCUGACUGCACACACAGUGACACGUGUUGCAACCUGUACUAGUGAUCAAUACAUAUUUUUUUAAUUACAUAUUAAGAAAUAGGGAAG